rnacentral:rRNA from 1 species
CGAACGAAGACCCGGAGCUUGCUCCGGAUCUCUUAGUGGCGAACGGGUGAGUAACGCGUGGGAAUCUACCUGAAAGUGGGGAAUAACUGUUGGAAACGACAGCUAAUACCGCAUAAUCCCUUUGGGGCAAAGGCUUCGGCCGCUUUCAGAUGAGCCCGCGUUAGAUUAGGCUGUUGGUGAGGUAAUGGCCCACCAAACCUACAAUCUAUAGCUGGUCUGAGAGGAUGAUCAGCCACACUGGGACUGAGACACGGCCCAGACUCCUACGGGAGGCAGCAGUGGGGAAUAUUGGACAAUGGGGGAAACCCCGAUCCAGCAAUGCCGCGUGAGUGAUGAAGGCCUUAGGGUUGUAAAACUCUUUCAGAAGUGAAGAUGAUGACGGUAACUUCAGAAGAAGCUCCGGCUAACUCCGUGCCAGCAGCCGCGGUAAUACGGAGGGAGCUAGCGUUGUUCGGAAUUACUGGGCGUAAAGGGCGUGUAGGCUGUUAGGUAAGUCAGAGGUGAAAUCCCUAAGCUCAACUUAGGAACUGCCUUUGAUACUAUCUUACUAGAGAUCGAGAGAAGUUGGCGGAAUUCCAAGUGUAGAGGUGAAAUUCGUAGAUAUUUGGAAGAACACCAGUGGCGAAAGCGGCCAACUGGCUCGUAUCUGACGCUGAGACGCGAAAGCGUGGGUAGCAAACAGGAUUAGAUACCCUGGUAGUCCACGCCGUAAACGAUGAGU